CCAGCAGUGAGCGUCACACAUCCAAAUGUAAGUGAAUACAAAGUUGGGGAACACGGAGUCCAGACCGUCUCUCCUACGAUGAUUUCAACAUGCAGCUAGUUCCCAUGACAGAAGCUCAGAACAACACGUUCCAGGAUCUUCUCAGGCUCCCAGUUGCAGAAAUGUCGGUGAGACUAGAGCCCCCGGUUAUGACAAUGAGGAGCCUUCUGAAGACCAAGACCCAAAUAUAAACUCACUAUGCUCAGGUUUGUUUAACUAGUAAAGCCCUGGCCCACUGGGCUCCAACUGAACUCUCGAUCACUCCAGCUGCUGAGGGUGAUGACCCCUGGGGGAGGGAGGAAGAACAGAGGGUGUGGGCAGAAUGGACACUUGCCAGAUUCUCUGGGGAGAGAGAUGCCCUUCUUCCCUCAUCUCCCACCAUGCACCACGGUGCACACUGUCAUUUGCUUGUGAAGGGCAAGGAAGAGGCUAUCUGAUGAUAUUAAAUAGGGAACUGAGAAGGGAAAAAGAGAUCUAAAUGGUGUAUGACCAUUGCCUACGUCUCUGUUCUCCUGCCAUAAAGGUCCUAGAAAGAAUGUUCUGGAUUUACCUGUGCCAUGUGACUAAGAAGAAAAAAAAUCCCAGGGGUGUAGAGUCUUGGCCCUAACAUUUUAGAAGACUGUAAACUAAAUAUCUGAACAGAACAGGGCCUAGAUGUUUCGUAAAUAUGACUUGAAAUGAUCUUGUCUAAAAUAAGGGCAAUUUGAAAACUCUGAGUUGAGUUUCCCAGGCUCGGCUUUUGGUCAAGUAUUGCAGUUGUUUAGGCUUCCUGGCCUCAAGUUUAAUUUAAAAAAAAAAAAAAGUGACAUAAUCCUCCUUGUGAGCUCUGCAAGAAGCAAUCAGCCACCUCGUGUCCUGAGUGCCGCCCAUCGCGGAGACGUGCUGAGAGCUCUAAAAUACCCUGGUGUGUAUCUCAGAAGACAGAUGUGACUGCAGUCUGGUGUGUAUCUCAGAAGACAGAUGUGACUGCAGUCUGGUGUGUAUCUCAGAAGACAGAUGUGACUUCAGUCUGUUUCAUAAGAAGCUGCCAGAGCCAUAAAAUCACAAAACUGAAGUGCUCAGAACCUGUGAGACGCCAUUGUCCUGUUUCUCAUUUGUACAAUGAAUAUGCUGAACGAGAACAUCUUUUAGUAUCCUCACAACUGUGGAAGUCCCCAAUUAAGCAUGCACAUAUAAUAAAGCUAUACCCAUGGCA